rnacentral:lncRNA from 13 species
CCGGCUUAAACACCAUGCGACUUGUCAGUUGGGAAGUGUAAGUUGAGAAGAAUGCGCAUAUUCUGCACAAUUUUCGUACUCAUGGCUCUCUGCGCGAGCCUCGCCGAAUGUUGGUCUUUCUCAAAUGUGGCGACGUCUAUUGACAAAUUGAUACGGCCGCAAAAUGACACGUCCCAAGUUUUAAAUGUUAAGGAGAAUAACGACAUUAUGACGACGGUAUCCCCGGACGUCACGAUGCAAGGCAGAAUAAUAUUCGUUCCACGAAGAAACAAAGUUUAUUGUCAACCGGGCCAGCAAGUCGAUCGACGUGGCAAGUGCAGGACAGUGUGGUAAAAACAAACGAUAAAGCAAGAAUCUUCAUAGAUAGUUGAACUUCUACUCCUGUUCGUAAAAGAAGAAGGGAAGGAAACAGAAGGAUUAACAGGACCGAAAAAAGAAAUGCGAAUAUUACUGUGAUCGUCAAGAAUAAUUAAUGGAACCAUGCAUUUAGAUGUACCUAAUUAAUUAAUAAUAUAAGAUGUAUAAAUUUUAAAUCGAAUUGGCAAAUUUUUAAUGUUAUUCGAAAUGCAAUUAAGACGCAAAGACUGCAAACUAAGUUAUUGUGACGCAUACAUUUAUCUCACAAACGUAAAAGUGUUAGACGUGUGAUAAUUUCGAGAUUUUAAUUAUUAUAGAGUAUCAAAUUUAUAUUUAAUAUUAGACAAUAAAUAAAGUACUUUAAUGUCCGUAAAAUUAAUCAAAAUUAAAUUGUAUCUUUUCUUGAAUACAACAUUAUAAUUCAUUAUUAGUUAGAUAUUUAAAUAAUACGAGAAAGAAUCAAAAACUAAAAGCAAUUUUUUUAAUUACGCGGAAACAGACUAUGUGAAAAAGUGAUACGUUUAAUUGCUUACAAUUAAUUCUAUUAAAACCGUUGAAUGCAUUUUUGUCUUUACUUUUUGAUUUUCUCUCGUACUACUAGCAAUUAUUCACAAAUCAUUUUUUAAAUAAAAAACAUAUUAAAUGAAUACUUAAAAUGUUUAUAUAUGUAUAGAUACAAGUACAUAUCUAUCAUAAAAUGAAUAAAACAUUUUGCAUAUAUUUGUUUACGUUUUCUUUUUAUCGCCUGUUAGAAGAUUUAUUUGUAGUGUGAACAUAAGCUUGAAUGUGUGCGGCGCAUAUCACAAUCAUUCUCAAUAAUUUAUCGCGUUGAGGAAGUUGCGAGCAAAUGCUCAUGCGCAAGCAAUCAGGAUUCCGAGCGCUAAUUAACGAUGACGAAACGGAAAACAGACAGGAAACCACACUCUGCUGCGGCACUGCUAAGUUGUAUAUAAAUACAUGCGCUAUCGUUAUAAAAGUCCAGUCCAGUUAUUACCAUUUUGAUGUUGCAAGCUUACGCUGAGGCAGAAGCAGAGGAAUUUGACGGCAAUCUGUCUGACUUCGUCCGCCUAAUUUGAAUUCGAGAAAGUGAUUAGAAAAUUGAAUAUCGUCUGCAGUAAUGGCACCCGUCCGUUUGAUUCUACUGAUUCUCGUAUCGAUAAUGUUACUAUUUGCGUGUGAGGGACAGCCACUGACUUUCCCUAUAAGAAACCGGCCAAUUAAGCCGAAAUGUCCGGCAGGCUAUAGAUACGUUCGUAACGGAGGAUGCAGGAAGAUAUUAGUAAUUUAAGAAUACCUUCUUGUGCAAGAAUAUACAUACAUACAACAUCGCAGGAUAUUCUUUCCCGGAGAUGACAUAUUGGCAACGAAAACAAUAACGCUUUCGUCUCGUAUCAUUAUAAAUACUAUUAUCAUAUCUUUUGACUUCAGUAAUAUGGAUUACGAAAGAAAUCAUUUUAACAAAAUGUAACGAUCAUUAUCCAGAAAUCCAGUAUGCUUUUGUGAUUCAUACGCACCACGUAAAUAAUCUGUAUAAAUCACUUUGAUAAAUAAUAAUAUCAGAAAAAGUAA